rnacentral:rRNA from 1 species
UACGGAGGAGGCAAGCGUUAUCCGGAAUUAUUGGGCGUAAAGCGUCCGUAGGUGGUUUAGUAAGUCUGCUGUUAAAGCGCGGGGCUUAACUCCGUAUCGGCAGUGGAAACUACUAGACUAGAGUGUGGUAGGGGUAGAGGGAAUUCCCAGUGUAGCGGUGAAAUGCGUAGAUAUUGGGAAGAACACCGGUGGCGAAGGCGCUCUACUGGGCCAUAACUGACACUGAUGGACGAAAGCUAGGGGAGCGAACAGG